UGGAUAGAACUUUUCCUUGGUUUGCGAAUGAGUGCAGGAAUGUUAGACUAGGGUGGGAAUUUUUAUUUGGAUACCAGGGAAAGUUCAAGCAUUCUCUUCGGGAGUGGAGACAUGAGAUAAAGAAGAAAUGCUUUGAUUGUUUCACUCACAACUGGGAGAGGAUAUACAAGCGAGAUAAGAGGGUUGAGCCUGAGCACUUAGCUGCACUUAUAAUAUUGUGGGGCCAAGAGGAGCACCAGGAAAAAUGUAGGAGAAAUAAACUUAAUCGAUGGAAAAAAGAUUAUGAUCAUCAUACGGGGACUACUUCAUUUGCCCAGAUUGAGGAUCAAUUUUGUAGGACAACGAACGCUCCCUUUAUCCCACUACCAGAACUGCACAGGAGAA